AGGAGGGCGUUCUGCAAUACAGUGGCGGAUGCCAUAAUCAUCGGCCUCGAAAUUAACGGUACAAUUAGUUUUUACUUAUUCAGAUGCGUUGGUUUUCGUAUUUGAGCAUAUGUUAUAAGAAUUCUGAAUAUGUGAAUAUAGAAUUGUUUGCUGGAUAAUGAAAAUUUUGUAUAAAUUGAUACAGACAAUGAGAGGGUGUGCCAGAUGAAGAAAGGGAUGCCUGUUGGAAAGAGCUCAUCAGUUAGAACUAUUGAUACUUCGGAAGUAUCCAGAAUGACGCCGCAAAAUCCCCAUAUUUCUCCUUUGGAUGUAAAUGUAAAGAGGAUAUUGUGAGGGAUUAGCAAUUGGCAAUACAGGCGCCCAAAUAGUCUUCCAUAAAGAUGUUGG
rnacentral:lncRNA from 1 species